UUUUAGAAUGAAAACAAGACUAUAUGUGCAGACAGUGAUUUUUCAUCAAAUAUGGCAAAUAUUGUUUUCUCAA